CGGCGAGUGAAGCGGCAAUAGCUCAAAUUUGAAAGCUGGCCCCUUUGGGGUCCGCGUUGUAAUUUGUAGAGGAUGAUUCGGCGAGGGCUCCCGUCUAAGUCCCCUGGAACGGGGCGUCAUAGAGGGUGAGAAUCCCGUAUGUGAUGGGUUGCCUUAGCCAUGUGAAUCUCCUUCGACGAGUCGAGUUGUUUGGGAAUGCAGCUCUAAAUGGGAGGUAAAUUUCUUCUAAAGCUAAAUACCGGCCAGAGACCGAUAGCGCACAAGUAGAGUGAUCGAAAGAUGAAAAGCACUUUGGAAAGAGAGUUAAAAAGUACGUGAAAUUGUUGAAAGGGAAGCGCUUGCAGCCAGACUUGUCCGCAGUUGCUCAGCCGGUCUCCUGACCGGCGUACUCUUCUGCGGCCAGGCCAGCAUCAGUUCGGGCGGUCGGAUAAAGACCUCGGGAAUGUAGCUCCUCUCGGGGAGUGUUAUAGCCCGGGGUGGAAUGCGGCCAGCCUGGACUGAGGAUCUCGCUAGGAUGCUGGCGUAAUGGCUGUAAGCGGCCCGUCUUGAAACACGGACCAAGGAGUCUAACAUCUAUGCGAGUGUUUGGGUGUCAAACCCAUACGCGUAAUGAAAGUGAACGGAGGUGGGAACCCUCACGGGUGCACCAUCGACCGAUCCUGAUGUCUUCGGAUGGAUUUGAGUAUGAGCAUAGCUGUUGGGACCCGAAAGAUGGUGAACUAUGCCUGAAUAGGGUGAAGCCAGAGGAAACUCUGGUGGAGGCUCGCAGCGGUUCUGACGUGCAAAUCGAUCGUCAAAUUUGGGUAUAGGGGCGAAAG
rnacentral:rRNA from 1 species